rnacentral:misc_RNA from 1 species
CCAGAUUCAACAACGUUGGAA